rnacentral:lncRNA from 1 species
CUUUAGUUAAACUAGGAAUCAAAGAUUCUGAUUCAGUGCACCCCUAAGUACCAUCAUCUUUGUUUGGAGACCCAACAGAGUUAAGAGAUCCCUGCACCUCAACAUUUGCUGCAGUCCUCUUGGUUCUUGUAAACUUGAAAUCUGGUGGGAAUCCAUAGAGUUUGUAGCACUUGUCAAUCAUAUGACCAGGUUUCAUGCAAUAUCUACACACUAAGUUUGUCUUGUUGAGAUCAAAACUGAGUCUUUCAUUGAAUUGUUUAGAAUGGGCAGAUGUGGCAGGGAAUUUGUUGGUGAAAUAGGUGUUGAAAGCACUGGAGUCAUUACGGAAUUGAGAGGGUGAUGAUGUAACUUGUCUCUGCCUCUCAUCCUGAAGCAGAAUGUUGUACGCACUGUCUAGAGAUGGG